rnacentral:rRNA from 1 species
AUGCGUCAAUUGAAGCUUGUGCGCAACAUGAGGGCUCAAAAUGACCCGUGGUUCGCAGAAUACCUACUACGCAUUGGAAACAGAACUAAGCAGACGAAUGAUGAUGGUGAAAUACUUCUACCUAGAAGUAUAUGUGUGGCAAAUAAGACGGAUGAUAAUGGCCUGGACAUACUCAUUGACAAUAUCUACCAAACAGGCAAUGCUUUCCUAAUAAAGGAUCCAAAGUACAUCACUUCAAGAGCAAUUUUAUCCACAAGGAACGACUGUGUGGACAAAAUCAACUUAAAAAUGAUUGAUCGCUUCCAGGGGGAGGACAUGGUGUACCACAACUUUGAUUCCGUAGAAGACGACCCACAUAACUACUAUCCACCAGAAUACAUAAACACCCUAACCCCAAAUGGACUUCCUCUACAUAUGUGA